UUUAAAAUGUAGGGGAACCGGUGUUGCCGGGUGAGAAGAUAGACGGAAUCUAUUAACCCUUGAACCUGAUCUGGCUUAUACCAGCGUAGGAAACAUUAACGAGUAAUGA
rnacentral:ncRNA from 2 species